rnacentral:rRNA from 1 species
GGAGGAUCCAAGCGUUAUCCGGAAUCAUUGGGUUUAAAGGGUCCGUAGGCGGUUUAGUAAGUCAGUGGUGAAAGCCCAUCGCUCAACGGUGGAACGGCCAUUGAUACUGCUAGACUUGAAUUAUUAGGAAGUAACUAGAAUAUGUAGUGUAGCGGUGAAAUGCUUAGAGAUUACAUGGAAUACCAAUUGCGAAGGCAGGUUACUACUAAUGGAUUGACGCUGAUGGACGAAAGCGUGGGUAGCGAACAGGAUUAGAUACCCUGGUAGUCCACGCCGUAAACGAUGGAUACUAGCUGUUGGGAGCGAUCUCAGUGGCUAAGCGAAAGUGAUAAGUAUCCCACCUGGGGAGUACGUUCGCAA